rnacentral:lncRNA from 1 species
UAAUGCACAGCAGCACAGGCAGAAACCAUAGAAGUGAUGUAGGUGCCAAAUGAAAAGAUUGAGGUUUGGGGAUCAUUUGGAUCCAACACCAUGAGAGAAAACUCUUAGAAUGUGGACUUGGUACAACUUGUUUUACAAAUGAUGGGAAUUGGUGCUGAGAAAGGUACUGUUACUGGAGAGGCAGCAAAGAGAAUCACCCUGAUAUAACCUCAUGAUGUCCAUGACCCUGGAAAGGCAGAUGAUAAGAAACCUCCUUCUUUCAGCCUGAAGGUGG